GAGUAGGCAAUUGGGUAGAGGGCAACGGUGGCAACGUGGCCGGCUUUGGCAAAGUUGGAGCAGUUGGAAGCGUAGGCAAUGGGGUUGAGGGAAGUGGAGGCAAUGUGGUCUUGGGCAGAGUUGGGGCAGUUGGAAGUGUAGGCAAGGUGUUUGAGGGCCUGGGAAGUGUUGGUAGUGAAGGCAAAGGAGGCAGCUGAGUGGGAUUUGGCAGAGAGGGGAUUGUAGGGAUUGCCAGUGUUGGGGGUGGAGCUGCUGCUGGUGUGUCCAAAAGGUGGCGAGCUGCAUGGCUCAUUUGGGUGCUUGAGGCUGACAAAAUCACCACCAGCAAAGACGAAAUGAAGAAAAUCUUGGGAAAAGCCAUGGUUGAGUUGAAGGAGCUGCUAGGGCUAUAGGCAAGUCUCUUUGUUAAUAUGUUGUUUUUGUUGUUGUGAAGAGCAGACAGUCUCCAUUGGGUUUUUAUAGAGAAAAUAUGUGUCAAGACUUUGAGGACUUGGAAGCAUCUAUCUAAUAAGUUUGAUGAGUUGUGGUUGUAGGAAGUGGGAAAAAAAGCAAUAGUUAGCUCACCUCCCUGAGUUGAUUAAUAAAUUGGUUUCAAACCCAAACUAACCCAAAAGAAAGGCUGAAGAAUAAACUCACGCAAGCCAAGCCAAUAAUCUUAAGCCAAUUGGCUAUUGAACAUGGGAACUACAUACACAAUCACCAUUUUGGUUGGGUAUGGCUAAGAAAGUCCGUUUGACUACAACAACCAUUUUCGUUGGUUGGAAAUGAGAUGGUCUUGACAAUCUCCUCCUAAAAACUAAACUCCGGAUUCAAACAAAUGAUUCAAAUAGGAAGAGAUCUGGUUAACCAAUUAGAGAUGAACCCAAACCACACUCAAUCGAAGGUUGAUAGGUUCUUUCAAGUUUAAAAUUGGUUAACAAAACCUAUUUUGGAACUUUGUCCUCUCUUUCAAAUGUCCAUUUUGAUAUAUAUAUAUAUGUGUGUGUGUGGAUCCGAGACACACAAAAAACCACACAUUAUACACACUUUUUUAACCCUUAGAUGAUUCACCAUCCAAUGGCUCAAAAUGCAUCAUGAUGAAGCUUGUCUGCCAUCAUUCCUUGAUAGCAAACUAUACAUCUACGGGAGGCAAUAAUCUUUGCCUAUAAAAUAAGGCAUCCUCCUCAUUGUAAAAGGCAAAAUGGAAAGAUUCAAUGAAAACAUCAGAACAACAUUCCUAUUGCUAUUUGAAUUCUCUAAAUUCUCUCCACAAUCUCUUUAGUUUUAUAACACAAUUAAACUAUUAUUCUUCUCAUAGAAGGGCUUUUUGACAGUUUGAGAUGUGUUGGUGAGCUCUAUUGUGGGGGUCUCUUGGUCUUCCAGUAGUUUGGUAGUUUAUUUUGGUUAUUUAUUUUUCUGUUUUGGUUCUUUGUUGAGGUCCAAAGUGGCCUGAGUUGGACCGUUUUGGUAGUCUAUGGCAUGUGUGGUACUCUUUUUUACCCUGAGUUUGUCCCUUGUGGUUUUCCUAGGAAGAUUUUAACAAGGCUACUAUAGUCUAUAUUUAUGUCGAUUAUGCCUAUUUUGAUUUAUGAAUGAAAUUUUCUUCUAAAAAAAGUACCAUUAAACUAAUAUCUAGUUGGGAAAAAGUACCAUUAAAGUACCAUUAUAAACUAGCUGGUGGUAUUGAUCAAGAACUUUGAUGAACAUUAUGAAAUCUUCAGUGUUAACAUUUUGCAAUUUAUUUGAUAACUUUCGCUUGAUCAUAGUAGUAACACAUUUUGUAUAUAUCUUCUUUGUAUUUAGUAAAAUACCAGACCGAGAAAAUAUACAUAAAAUUUGUAUGUGCAUUAUUUGGAAAUUCUUUAUUAUAAAAAAAAAUAUGGUAAAAAUUCAACCAUUAUGUUAUAUUUUAAAAUGAUUUAUUUUCAUUUUUUGAAAGAGUGUAAAAUAUGUGAAUAAUUGGAAAAUAUAUGCAACAUGCAUGGAUUAUACAUAAAAAAAAAUAUAUACUUGAAUAAUGCAAGUAUAAUACGUUUGGUUUAAAAAGCAAGUAUAGUUCCGCAUAAUUGAGAAAUGUGAAAAAUUAAAGUAUUUAAACAGAAUACAUACAUAUUUAUAUGAGUAUGAUGCACGAAUUUAUAAAAGCUUAAUUGAAAGUGUAACAACAACUAGAUAAAAUAUUAAUUGAUUACUUAAAGAUAAUAUAUAAGUUGAAUGAAUUAUUAAUUAAUUAGAUUUUUUUUUGUGUGUCAAAAGUUAAAAAGGAGAGGCAGGAAACUCACACACAUGGAUACCAUGAGGGCUUGAACUCAGGACCACUUAGAAACAUACCAAACGUUUGGACCAAUUCAACUAACAUCCCAUUGAUAAAUUAUUAAUUAAUUAGAUGAAGGUGAUCCUUUUGUUUAUUUUUUGUUAGACGAACUUAUGAUAGAUAAUGAAGUGGUGAAUUGGUUAUUACAGUGUCCCCAAAGAAAGGUAAAAUUUGGAAAAACUUCUCAUAGGACAAUAACCCCAAAGAAAGGUAAAAUUUGAUUCUAAGCCUUCUAAUUGUGUUUUUAUUUAAUAUUUAAAUUAAUAUUUAUGGUUUUGAAGCCAUGCAUGAGUUACGAACACUACAAAUAACGCAAAAACUUUAAGAGAGAAUAUAUGAUAGUUAUAUUUGAACAAGGAUAUGCUAAUGAUGAAGAUAAUUGUGACACUGGUUUUACUUAUAUGCUGGUUGUAGUGCAAGCCAUUAAUGGUGAAGAGGCUCUUUCUGUUCCCUCAUCUUACUCCCUUUCGAAAACUCCAUCUCGCCUUUGCUCCUCUCUUCCACAUGGUGGUGAUAUUUUCAGAAUCCAUAGGACUUCUGAAAUUUCUAAGAUUCUGGUUAAUGUUCGACAUUCUAAACAUGGACCUAGAAAACUUCCCAAAACUCCAAUUCUGAAAAAUCCUAUUGAUCCCAACACUCCUAUUUCUUCAAGUCCUAAUGUCAAAAUUAUCUAUCCUCGUUCUUUUAAUUUCAAAUGUAAACUUCGACCAUGUGGCGCUGCCUGCUUUCGAGCAGCGCUGUUAUGCAAGUUUUGUUGUUGCUGGAGAUGAUGUUAUGCAUUUACUCCCUAUUGUGUUUACUUUUGUUAUCAUAUUGUGUGAAAAAAAUUUAUAUAAUUUGAUGGUUAUUUUAAAUAGCUUGUAAUAUAUUGUUUACAUAAAUCUUCUAUGCAUUUUUGUUCUUUGAAGCACAAUAGCUUGAAAAUUUAUAUUUAGGCCGUCUUUUAUCGAUUUACUGAAUCUGAUUGUAUAUAAGAUAAUAUAAAUUCUCCUUUUUCUGCUCAGUCUUUGGGUACUGCAUAUAGUCCAUGACAUGACCAGUAGGUUUCCAUAACAAAGAUCAUAUAUAUAAUAAAGAAUAAGCCUUUAUUUUGAUAAUAAUACUAUAAUUCAUAACAAAAAUUAAUACAACAACAAACCCUACAAUAGAUAUCGAGAAGAUCCCAACAAAGAAAGAAUUCAAGGAAAAUAACAUCCCUCACAAGUUCUCUGUCACAAGUAUACUGUAUACAUACACUAAUAAGCCACCAUCAAACGGAAGAAACCAUCAAAUCAUAUAUUCUGAAGACUCCCCAGCACAGACAAGAAACUAGAUUGUAUACUUCUACUAGUAAUCAUGGAGAACCAUGGCAUAUAUAUAUCAAGUGGUUUAAUUGGAUGGGGGUGGGGUGAAGAAUGGAGUCGAUGGAAUUGUUGUUGGAAUGGUGGGGAUUGAAGGGAUUGUUGAGGGGAAUGAGGGAAGUGGGUUGGCGGGCAAUGGAGGGAGGGUUGUGGGCACCGUAGGCAAUGUGGAUUUUGGCAAAGAUGGGAUUUGGGGUAGGGAGGUUGGGAAUGGGGGCAGAGUAGUUGGGAGAGUUGGCAAUUGGGUAGAGGGCAACGGUGGCAACGUGGCCGGCUUUGGCAAAGUUGGAGCAGUUGGAAGCGUAGGCAAUGGGGUUGAGGGAAGUGGAGGCAAUGUGGUCUUGGGCAGAGUUGGGGCAGUUGGAAGUGUAGGCAAGGUGUUUGAGGGCUUGGGAAGUGUUGGUAGUGAAGGCAAGGGAGGCAGCUGAGUGGGAUUUGGCAGAGAGGGGAUUGUUGGGAUUGCCAGUGUUGGGGGUGGAGCUGCUGCUGGUGUGUCCAAAAGGUGGCGAGCUGCAUGGCUCAUUUGGGUGCUUGAGGCUGACAAAAUCACCACCAGCAAGGACGAAAUGAAGAAAAUCUUGGGAAAAGCCAUGGUUGAGUUGAAGGAGCUGCUAGGGCUAUAGGCAAGUCUCUUUGUUAAUACGUUGUUUUGUUGUUGUGAAGAGCAGACAGUCUCCAUUGGGUUUUUAUAGAGAAAUAUGUGUCAAGACUUUGAGGACUUGGAAGCAUCUAUCUAAUAAGUUUGAUGAGUUGUGGUUGUAGGAAGUGGGAAAAAAAAGCAAUAGUUAGCUCACCCCCUGAGUUGAUUAAUAAAUUGGUUUCAAAGUCAUACCCAAACUAACCCAAAAGAAAGGCUGAAGAAUAAACUCACGCAAACCAAGCCAAGCCAAUAAUCUUAAGCCGAUUGGCUAUUGAACAAGGGACCUACAUAUACAAUCACCAUUUUGGUUGGGUACGGCUAAGAAAGUCCGUUUGACUACAAUAACCAUUUUCGUUGGUUGGAAAUGAGAUGGCCUUGACCAUCUCCUCCUAAAAACUAAACUCCGGAUUCAAACAAAUGAUUCAAAUAGGAAGAGAUCUGGUUAACCAAUUAGAGAUGGAGCCAAACCACACUCAAUCAAAGGUUGAUAGGUUCUUUCAAGUUUAAAAUUGGUUAACAAAACCUAUUUUGAAAACCCUUAGAUGAUUCACUAUCAAAUGGCUCAAAAUGCAUAUGAUAUUAUUUAAAAAGGAAAGCAAUAUUUUUUCAUUACUUUCUAGAAAACACAAGUCAACCACAUGAUUAUCUUUUCCAACUCUCUCUCCUCUUUAAUUACAUUCUUAAAAAUACAAAGACAUUUUUUUUCCAUCUAAAACUCGUUGGUACUUUAGCUGGGUUUUCACAAAAUCCAUCACUUUUAUUCUUCUCUUUAGUUACUCUUUUUGCUACGCAAUUAUCUUAGGCUUUGUUUUUGUUUUUUGUUUUGUUUUUUUGUUUUUUUAGGUUACUAGCUAGCUAGUGAUUACUUUUUCCCCGUUUCUCUUCAAUAAUCUCUCUACUCUUUUAGCAAAAAUAAAUAAAUAAUAAUAAUACUAAAAUCUCUCCACUAUGCUUUCUUUUACUCUUUUUUUUUCCUUUCGUUUCGAUCCAUCGAACUUUUUUUUUUUUCUAAAUCUUUAAUUUUGUAGUUUCAUUUAAUCUAUCUUCACCAUUUAAAUUUUUUAAUUUUGUAAUUUCUCAUCACACUUUUUCAUGAUUGUUUUUCUUUUUGUUGCUUUAUAAUGUUAUUCAAUGUCACUCCAAUGAUCUCCCUUUUCUCCUUAUUUUACGCUCUUCUAAUGAACUUAUUCGUUCACCAAAACACAAUAUAUAUAUUUUUUUAUAGUUGAAACAAUUGUUUUUCAGCCAUAUUCGUUCACCAAAACACAACAUAUAGAUUGCAUAUAUUAGUAAAGUCAAAUGAUGUUUAAAAUUCCAUUUCUCAUUCCAGAAACAACAUUAGAGCUUGAUGAAUGCAACAAACCAUCAAUCAUUAACCAAAAGUAACUGUUCACAACAUUCUUCUUUCUUUUUCAGCAUGGAUACUCAGUACUCAAAGAAUCAAUAGUCCCGACACCCAUAGAAUCAGUAGUCCCAGCAACCAAUACUCCAGGAAAAUAUCCAAUACAACCCUUCAAUCAUAACUCAAACCAUUUAGUAUCCCUCCAACCAUCUGCAUAUGAAGAAAUCAAACCAAAUUCAGUCAUAACUCAAAGAAAGAAAUCAAACCAAGUUAAGUCAUAACUCAAAGAAUAAUUAUAUAAUUAUUUAUCAGUUGCUCCAGGGCUAAUUGAAUUUUUAUUUUUUUUCCAUCUCACUGAUUUAUAAUUUAAGACUACCACUAAUUUAACUGUAGACUUAAACUUAAUAAUACCAAUUCAUAAUGAAUUGAUGCAAUAUAUGAAAGGAGGACACCAAUUCAAGUGCUGUUGUGUUGGGGCAAUUUAUGUGAUUCAAAUUAAAAAUAAAAUAAAGAAGAAGACAAUAUGCAUGCAAAAGAGCUAUUGACACUAAACACAUAAUGGUUCUGACCUGAUGGAGAUGAGGGCUAGAGGUGCGUGAUGACUUCACAACUAAUGAUGAAGAAGCUUCCGACAUUGCAAUGGUUUCACUUUUCCGACAAGUCCAACAAGAAAUGAUGAAGAAGCUUAAGGAAGAGAUGAAGACAUAAGAGAAUAAUGGAGUGGGAGAGAGUUGUUUGUGGAAGGAAGAAAUCUGUACAAGGAAGAGCAAUAGAAACGAAGAGGCACACGCAAGGAGAGAUAAAUUGAAGUAAUGAUUGUUGCAUGUUUUCAAAAAGUAAAAACAGAAUAUUGAUUUUUUAUUUAUUGAAAAACAAUAUUGUCAUAUGCAUUUGAGCCAUUGGAUGGUGAAUCAUCUAAGGAUUAAAAGGUGUGUAUAAAUGUGUGGUUUUUUGUGUGUCUUAAGAUUCUGUGCUAAAAUAUGAAUAUGAUUUAAAUACUUUAGGUUGACCUUUAUUCUUCUCCAUAAGGAGGUAUAUAUAGAAGUUUACAUAUGAAAGUUUUACAAGGAAUUAGAUAUAGUAAAGAAUUAGGAAAGUAUCUCAUAAUUGUACAAUGAUUUGUCACUUUUAUAAAAAAUAGGAAAGUAAAUCCCUUAAUUAAUCAAGGAAAUAAAUCUCCUUGAUUAAUUAGGAGACUCACGUCAACACUCCUCCUGAAGUUGGUGCAUAUAUGUCACGAAUGCCCAACUUGGUAAGUGAGUCAUGAAAUACUCUUCCACACUCACAGCAUAUGCAAUAUCUGAUCUUGGAGGACGUAUGAAGAGUAGAACCUUUGGUGGUGGUGAUAGAAGAAGGAGUCUGGGUUGACCGCAUGCUUCUGUGAGUCUGCAAUAAGAUGGAGAAUCGUAUGGGUUCUUGACAUCACAGCGGAAGUAAGAUGUGAUAUGAGAAGGUGAGGAAGGUGAUGUGAGAAAUUUGAUGUAGGAAUUGGAUUUAAGAGGUAUGUAUAUAAGAUUUGAUGAUAUGUGUUUAGGGAUUCGGAUAAGAGGAUUUGAGGACUUUAGAUUUGAGGGAUUUGGAUUUGGGGAAAAAAAAUGAGGAAUUUGAUUUAGGGUUUUGGAUUUGAAUAUGAGAAAUUUGAGAAAUUUGAGAAAUUUGAGAAAAUGGUGUAGAGACAAAACAACUUCUCUUCACUCCCCUUCUCCCCUUAAAGAGAAGGGGUCGUCAGAGUCAAGAAAUAAGCAACAUCUUCUUGGGAUACGUCAAUAAACAUAGCCCUUUCACUUUUUUUUUAAAGUGGUAGAGUUUGCCCCUCCUAGUACCACAACUAAUCAUCUUGCUGCUGAGGAUGUCUUGUUGUGGCUACAGAGGCAGAUGCAAGAGUUGGUGCCGUUGGAGCUGCAGGACUAACAGAAGCUGAGUCAGAAGAUGUGUCGAGUGAUUUGCCCCUAUUCUUGCGCGGAGCUUUGGAGUGGUCCCACCAAUCCGAGUAACCAAUCAAUUCGUAACAGCCAUCACGAGUAUGUUUGCUUCCACCACAGUGAGUGCAUUUGCGUUCUAGACUAGAGCUUGUGACUUGAGUUUGAGAAGCACCAGUGGUAGAAGUCGGAGGACCAUGUGGACGUUGGGUGGCUAGGACAAUAAUGUCUGGAGUACUGGUCAUGGUCAUUGUUGAGCUUCGCGACGGACAUAUGCAAAGGUUUGGUCAAGGUCUAAUUUAGGUUCUUUACGCAAGAUUUCCCCCCGGACUUGAUCAAACUGAGGGUCGAGCCCGACAAGAAACAGGUGAACACGAAGACGAUCCAGUUCGGUCUGACGUUCAGUCACGUCGGUGUUGCAGUGCAUGCGAUUGGGAGUGCGGUGAUCAAUCUCUUGAAAGAUGGUAUGCAGUUGGCUAUAGUAUUUGUGGACAGAGGCACCAUUCUGUUUAAUGGUGAAUGCCCAUUUGUUGAGAUCAAAAAGGAAAGUUUCAUCCCUACCAUCAAAGUAGGUUUUCUUCAUGGCAUCCCAGAUUUCUUUGGCGGUACUUAAGCAGAUGAAACGACUCAUCAAGUCGGAAGACAUGGAGUUAAUGAGCCACCCCUUCACCCGAAAGUUCUCCGUACGCCAUUUGGAAUAGGUGGAGGAGAGCUUAGAAGGUUGCGGGGUGUCGCCGGUGAUGUACCCCAAUUUUUCGCAGGUAGCAAUACGCAUCUCCAUGACUUGAGAUCAUAAGGCAUAAUUGGUUUCAGUCAAGGUGAUGCUAUUUGGGAAAGGAGCGUUGUCACUGUAGAUAGUAACAAUUUGGGAGGAUGGUGGAGUGGUGUCGGUGGUAUCAGAAGAGGAGAUGACAUCCAUGGCAGCGGAAGAAUUUUAAGGGUAAAAAAAAAAAAAAUGUGUUUUGGAAUUUGAAGAUAUGAGGGAUGUGGAUGGAGAUCUGAAUCUGGUAAAGAGAAAUAUGAGUUUGGAGAAAUAUGAGGAAUUUGAGGAAUAUGAUUUUAUGGUUUGUGUUUGAAGAAGUUUGAUAUGAGGAUUAGCGUUUGUGUUGGAAGAAAUUUGAUAUGAGGAUUUAGAGACAACUGAAGAUUGAUUGCUCUGAUACCAUGCUAAAAUAUGAAUAUGGUUUGAAUAUUUUAGGUUGACCUUUAUUGUUCUCUAUAAGGAGGUACAUAUAUGAGUUUACAUAUGAAGGUUUUACAAGGAAUUAGAUAUAGUAAAGAAUUAGGAAAGUAUCUCAUAAUUGUACAAUGUUUUAGUUUUUCACUUUUGUUACUCCUCCCUCCCAUCCCCUUUCAUCUUCCCUCUCAAUUCCAUCUCCACUCUCAUUCUCCCUUCCAUUCUCUCUUUUUUCCUCUGUACUCUAGAACAAAAACUAAAAACUAAAAACUAAAAUCGAAAUAGUUAUCAAAUGGGCCCUUAGGUUUCCUUCUUGGACCGAGACAUGCAAUUUCAUUUCUGGGUGCUAGUUUAGGGAGAGCAGUGGGUUGCACUGUUCUUCAUGUGUUCUUAAACGAAACAAAUUUUGAAAAUCCAGCCUCAUGAUCUAUAUAGAACGUCAAAUCUUAUAGAUUAGAUCACUACCUAGGCUGAGCUAAACAAUUUGAUACCUUAAUUAGUUUACAAUUAAUGAGUUAAAAUAGUAAUUACCUACAUAUGGAUGAGCCACCAUGUUGGAGCAUUGGAUAUGAUGUUAAUUUGUAGUUUGAUUAAUGGCGUAUGAAAAUGGAAAUGAGGCAGUGGAAUUUGUUGUUAGACGAGAGAGAUUACUUACCCUGAGCCAGGAAUGUUAAUGGCAAAGGGGAAUUCAAACCACUGGUUUUUGUUUAUUCAAUGCAUUGGAAUUGGGGGGUGGAUUAAUAUUGCUAGUAAAUGGCCAGUCGGGAUCAACUUUGAGCCCAUGGCCAUGGCAGUAGUUAAUGAAAUUGUUGUUGAUUUGUUUUUCCACUUUAUAUAUAGUCCAUGGCAUGACCAGUAGCAGUUCGAUGACAAAGUGACGAAGAUUAUGUGGCGGGAUGAAUCGAUAAGCCUUUUGAUAAUACAAGAGUUAUAACAAGAUUGCAAGAAUGCAAAACAAACACUAUUAUUGUAACCCAAAAAAAGAAAAAAGAAAAAGGCAACACUAGAAUAUAUAGAUAUCAUGAAGAUACAUGAAACCCAACAAGAAAUAAUUCGUGAAAAAUAGCAUCCUCACAAGCUCUCUGACACGAGAAAUACAAGAAAUUAGAUAGUUGUAGGACCUAGCAAGCAUAAAGAGAUCAAUCCAUAUAUCUCAAAUCUCAAAUGGUUUAAUUAAUUUGAUGGGGGUGGGGAGAGGAAUGAAAUGGUCGGAAUUGUUGAUGCAAUAGUGGAGAUAGAAGGGAUUGUUGUUGGGAUUUGGAGAGAGGGCAGUGGAGGUAGUGUUGUGGGCAACGUAGGCAAUGCGGAAGGUUUUGGCAAAGAAGGCAUUUGAGAGCUUGGCAAUGGAGGCAGAGUAGUUGGAAGAGUAGGCAAUGGUGGCAACGUGGCCAGAUUUGGUAGAGUUGGAGCAGUUGGAAGGGUAGGCAAUGGUGUUGAGGGCAAUGGAGGCAAUGUGGCCUUGGGCAGAGUUGGGGCAGUUGGAAAUGUAGGCAAGGUGUUUGAGGGCUUGGGAAGUGUUGGUAUUGAAGGCAAUGGUGGCAGUGUUUGUUUUGGCAGAGAUGGGAUUGUAGGGAAUGCCAAUGCUGGAGGUGGAGCUGCUGCUGGUGUGUCCAAAAGGUGGCGAGCUGCUUCGGUCAUAUGGGUGUUUGAGAGUGACAAAAUCACCACCAAAGACAGAAUGAAGAAAAGCUUGGGAAAAGCCAUGGCUGAGUUUAAGAAGCUGCCAGUUGUAUUGUAGGCAAAUCUCUUAAUUAAAAUGUUGUUUCUUGUUGU
rnacentral:lncRNA from 1 species